rnacentral:rRNA from 1 species
AACGAACGCUGGCGGCAGGCCUAACACAUGCAAGUCGAACGCUCCGCAAGGGGAGUGGCGCACGGGUGAGUAACGCGUGGGAAUCUACCUAUUAGUAAGGAAUAACAGUUGGAAACGACUGCUAAUACCUUAUACGCCCUACGGGGGAAAGAUUUAUCGCUAAUAGAUGAGCCCGCGUAAGAUAGCUAGUUGGUGAGGUAAUGGCUCACCAAGGCUACGAUCUUUAGCUGGUCUGAGAGGAUGAUCAGCCACACUGGAACUGAGACACGGUCCAGACUCCUACGGGAGGCAGCAGUGGGGAAUAUUGGACAAUGGGCGAAAGCUUGAUCCAGCCAUGCCGCGUGAAUGAUGAAGGCCUUAGGGUUGUAAAGUUCUUUCGCCGCCGAGGAUAAUGACGGUAAGCGGAUAAGAAGCCCCGGCUAACUUCGUGCCAGCAGCCGCGGUAA